rnacentral:rRNA from 1 species
AUUGAACGCUAGCGGCAGGCCUAACACAUGCAAGUCGAACGAGUGGCGGACGGGUGAGUAAUGUCUGGGAAACUGCCUGAUGGAGGGGGAUAACUACUGGAAACGGUAGCUAAUACCGCAUACCAUCGGAUGUGCCCAGAUGGGAUUAGCUAGUAGGUGGGGUAAAGGCUCACCUAGGCGACGAUCCCUAGCUGGUCUGAGAGGAUGACCAGCCCCACUGGAACGUAGCUACGGUCCCUACUCCUACGGGAGGCAGCAGUGGGGAAACAUGCCCAAUGGGCGCAAGGCUUAUGUCGCCAUGCCGGGUGGAUGAAGAAGGCCCUCGGGUUGUAAAGGACUUUUAGCGGGGAAGCUUUACCCGCAGAAGAAGCACCGGCUAACUCCGUGCCAGCAGCCGCGGUAAUUC